AUGCUAGUUCGAGCGGGGUUUUAGUAGCUUGCUACUUUACCUAGCCGGCGGACGGGUGAUUAAUGCUUAGGAAUCUGCCUAUUAGUGGGGGACAACAUCUCGAAAGGGAUGCUAAUACCGCAUACGUCCUACGGGAGAAAGCAGGGGACCUUCGGGCCUUGCGCUAAUAGAUGAGCCUAAGUCGGAUUAGCUAGUUGGUGGGGUAAAGGCCUACCAAGGCGACGAUCUGUAGCGGGUCUGAGAGGAUGAUCCGCCACACUGGGACUGAGACACGGCCCAGACUCCUACGGGAGGCAGCAGUGGGGAAUAUUGGACAAUGGGGGGAACCCUGAUCCAGCCAUGCCGCGUGUGUGAAGAAGGCCUUUUGGUUGUAAAGCACUUUAAGCGAGGAGGAGGCUACCGAGAUUAAUACUCUUGGAUAGUGGACGUUACUCGCAGAAUAAGCACCGGCUAACUCUGUGCCAGCAGCCGCGGUAAUACAGAGGGUGCAAGCGUUAAUCGGAUUUACUGGGCGUAAAGCGCGCGUAGGUGGCCAAUUAAGUCAAAUGUGAAAUCCCCGAGCUUAACUUGGGAAUUGCAUUCGAUACUGGUUGGCUAGAGUAUGGGAGAGGAUGGUAGAAUUCCAGGUGUAGCGGUGAAAUGCGUAGAGAUCUGGAGGAAUACCGAUGGCGAAGGCAGCCAUCUGGCCUAAUACUGACACUGAGGUGCGAAAGCAUGGGGAGCAAACAGGAUUAGAUACC
rnacentral:rRNA from 1 species